CGCGUGAGCAAUCUACCUUAGUUACUGGGAUAGCCCGAGGAAACUCGGAUUAAUACCGGAUAUUCUUAUUUUUCUACAUGAAGUUUUAAAGGUAAAGGGUACAGCCGAACCUAAAGAAUGAGCUCGCGUUCUAUCAGCUAGUUGGUGGGGUAAAAGGACCUACCAAGGCUACGACGGAUAGCUGGUCUGAGAGGACGAUCAGCCACACUGGGACGUGAGACACGGCCCAGACUCCUACGGGAGGCUGCAGCAGGGAAGUAUUGCGCAAUGAGCGAAAGACUUGACGCAGCGACACCGCGU
rnacentral:rRNA from 1 species